rnacentral:rRNA from 1 species
UCUUUCCUCCACCCUCGUGCCUAAUACAUGCAAGUCGAGCGAAGAGAGGAGGAACUUUCUCCUCUGACGUUAGCGCCGGGCGGGGGAGUCACACGUGGAUAACCUAUCUCUUAGGCUGAGAUAACUGCGGGAAACCGGAGCCAAGACCGGACACUAUAUUGAACCACAUGGUUCGAUUGUGUAUGUAGGCUUUGCUGUCACUGAUAGAUGGCACCGCGACGCAUUGGCUAGUUGGUAAGGGACAGGCUUACCAGGGCAACGGUGCGCAGUCGACCUGAGAGGGUGACCGGCCACAGUGGAACUGAGAGACGGUGCAGGCUCCUACGGGAGGCAGCAGUAGGGAAUCUUCCGCGCUGGGCGAAAGCCUGCUGGAGCACCGCCGCGUGGGUGGUGGAGGUCUUCGGAUCGUGAAACUCUGUUAUUGGGGAAGAACAGAUGUGUAAGUAACGAUGCACGUUUUGACGGGACCUAAUAAGAAAGCAACGGCUAGCUACGUG